UCCAGCCCUGAGUUGGUCUGCUGUAGAAGUAGAUUCCAACAGAUGUGCUGGCAGGUAAGUGCAAUCAGUCCAAGAAGUGUGAAUCUUCCUUCUUCCAGUGUUCUUAGGUAGGCCUCCAGCAGAAGGUGGGGCCCAGAUUAAGGUGUGUACCAACAUGCCUGGACCUGGGACUUGCUUUGUCCCCAGCUGACCUUGAACUCAGAUGUCUCCUUGCCUCAGUCUCCUGGGAGUAAAGGAGUGUACUACUUUAUCUGGGCCUAAACUUUUCUUCGUGGCAACUAUACCUCAAGGUCUUCAUGUCAGGAUCCAGAUCUGAAACGUGUGUCUUCCAGCCUCGAGAUCUGCAUCACAAGUGCACCUUCCAAUUCUGGGUUGUGGUUCAUUCCAGAUAUAGUUAAAUUGAGAACCAGGAAUGGCCACCACAGUGCUAGAUAUGGGUAAUUUUCCUUUCCUAAGAGGGCCUGGCUGUUAUGCAUGUGAAAUGAAUUUAUAAUAGCAAGAAGAAAAUAGGUUCAGACUAAAGUUAUUUUUAAAUAAGAGCUGUAUUUGGUGCAGAAGAAUAAACACAGGCUUCGGAGUUUGAGGUCACUUCAAUCAGAGAAAGUGCUUCUGAAAUCCAGCUAGGAGUGAGCAGAGGAACAAGAAACUUCCCUGUGUAGUUCUGAAUAUUAAGAUGAAAUUGUUUUGCAGGAAGAGUGCACUAGUCUUAACUAUGCAGGUGCUACCGUCUUAAAGACAUUUGCCUGGUGGCAUAGCCCCUGUUCCCCCUUGGGCAACUCUGACUCCUGCCAAUCCUAUGCUGGUUCUUUAAAUAUUGCUCAGACCUUCUUGCCUCUGCUUUGUACCUGUUUUUGUGUCAGACCUUUAAACAUUUUGGACUUGAGUUUGAGUGCAUUUCUUAACUUAGGUGACUGUGGUAUUGUCAUCUCUGUGUUUUAAACCCACCCUGACUUGGCCACUAUGGUUCUCAGUUGUUCUGUUAGCCGUUUGAUUAACAUAUCCGUUUCUACAUUUUGGUUUCCACGUAUUUGUUUUCUCAGCCUCCCCACACGGGCACUUAUUCAACAUAGUGCUACCCAAGGCAUUUGUACUAAUUAACACCUUCAUUUUCCCAUCAUCCUCUGCUCCAUUUGUGUUCAUAGACAUCAGGUAUACAGAGACAGGCCGAUUUCCGAGGAGAUUCCCACCACAUCAAAGUAACAGACUAAGUAUGGCCCAUGUGCUGCAAGGAUUGUAAUGGGUGCAUAAAGGAGAGCAGCCUUCACUGUUGGGGAGCAGAGGUGACCUAGUGGGACAUGUGACCAUAGUUGUUAUAGAAAGUGAUUCUUUUGUUUGUAGAAGGAGAUACAGCAAAGGCAAAAGGACAUUGGAAAUAGGACACAUAACCAGAGGAGACUGAGUAUCGUCUCAUCAGGGAAGUACACCAGGGCAGGUUUAGCUAGAGGAGGAGCUGUGAAAUAACAGAGAAUGUUUGGGAAUGGUGGUCAGGCAACCAUAUCAAGGAAGGCCUUGUGGCUAUGCAUUCUACUGAGUUCAGAUUCUCUUCUCUGGAGACGGGCCUCUGGAGGACUGUGAACAAGACCACGAUGUGACUAGAGUGGAAGUGAAGAAAAAGCCACUCUCCUUGGAAUAUGGAGAAUAGAUUGAAGAACAGCUGUCUUCAAGACAAGAGGACAACGAUGCUGGCAAGGAUGUGCGAAAUAUGGAAGCCCCUCAUAUAUUGUUAAUACAGCUGCUACAGAUAUCAGAAUGGAGACUUUUGUAAAACUAAAAGUGAAACUACUAUAUGACCCAACUGUACUUCCAGGCAACACCAGCAGGACUGAAAGGCAAUAUAACACAGAGAAAUUUACAUAACCAUGCUUUCUGCUGCACUAGUCACAGUUGCUAAAAAAUAGAGCUCUCCUAGAUGUCCAUCAAGAAAUCAAUGGAUGGAGCUGGAGAGAUAGCUCUGUUUAAGAGCACUGGAUGCUCUUCCAGAGAGCCUAGGUUAAAAUCUGGAACUGAAGUUUCAGGGCAUCUGGCCUCCACAUGCUCAAGGCAUACAUGUGUUCCUUGAACAUACAUGCAGGCAAAACAUAUAUACAUAUGAAAUAAACAAAGAGUAAAUAAAAA